rnacentral:tRNA from 1 species
GUGCCUGUAGCUCAGCUGGAUAGAGCGUCUGACUACGGAUCAGAAGGCCGGGGGUUCGAAUCCCUUCAGGCACG